GUCAGGUCGUACCGUUUCCUGGUGAACCCCAAAGGCUAGGCUGGGUGCUAACGCGGCUAGCUGCUAACAAGCUAAUGGGCAGCCUCGGAUCAUGUGAUCUUGUUAGACAGCAACAACCAACGAGCGCUGAGGGCCCUGAGGUCAGCACAACAUUUUCCAGCCCAAUCUCUCCUCCAACAUCCUUCCCAUGCUGAGCUUCAAAGACAAUCUGAAAGACAUUCAAGGGCCACAGUGAGGAGCUCUGUCUGCCAGCCCUGGUCUCUGCUUCGGCUCUGCUCCCAUACUGGCCGUAGCAACACUCCAGCCUCCUGCCAUAGCGACACACACCUGGUUGGUUUCCAGUAAGGACUUGUCUGUAGUGCCUUUGUAGAACAAGAGAGGGAGCGGAAGAAUCCACAUGCAGCAGUUCCUAAAUGCUAAUCCAGGAGGACGUCUGGGAGAUGGAGGAAGUGCGGUUGCUGGGAAGCAGGCAGUGGUUGCUGCAAAUAUGCAGCAUUGUUAGUGCUGCAGAAGUAAUAUCUGUUAAUAGGGGAGCAAAUAUUUGGACAAACCCCCAUGGACAGUAACAAUUACCAUGAUAUUUUCUAACCUUAAACUAAAGUCUGUAGUUUACCAUAGCUUAACUGUAUAGGUUAGUUGUCAUGACAAUCUUUCUGUAACCUUAUCCAUGUAGUUUUAAAUCUUUAGGCGUAGCUAUGCUUCCUUUCAGGAGCUAAAUUGGUCAAAACGUUUUCACAAAAGCAAGAAGUUGGAGAAAACCUUUCUUUUUUUUAUGUAAACUGUAUUUUUUAAAGACAUAGUUUCACACUAAGCAAUGUUCUUCUCCAUGGAAUUAUGUGGAAGUAGAAAUACUGUGAAUUCUUCCAUUACAAAUAAUUAGACGGUUUUGAUUUAAAGCUAAAAUUGGAUGGAAUGUAAUGUGAUGGAAUUAUAACCGUCUGGAAUGAAAUAAGAGACGUAUUCUCAGAAAACAAUGGCUUGUUUUGAUGUUGUUUUCUCUCCAGUCAAUGCUUCUCGCCAGAAUUGUUUGCGUACUCUACAGUGCAUGACAUUACAGAAACUGGUCUCCAGCAUCUUAUGUCUUACUCUCUGUAAUGAUUUGUCCUCGUCCUCACCACCUCCUGCAAUCCGAGGAACAGCUCCUAUGCUACAGAAUAACACGCACACAGAAAUUGACUGACAUCUCAAGCAUGUGGCUCAUGCAUACUGUACAUUAGAGCUGUUUCCUUACGUUGGUUUUCGUCGGUGGUGUGUUCUCUUGUGCUCACAACAACAGCACCAUCUUCUGUCCGGGAGAAAGCCCUGGCUCCAACUGUUAUCCAACGUAUUUCUGUGCAGCUUAGUGGCUUUUCAGUUAGCAAGUAUGACAAAAUAUUGUUGC